GACGUAGGGCGCGAGCGUUGUCCGGAUUUAUUGGGCGUAAAGAGCUCGUAGGCGGCUCAUUGCGUCAACCGUGAAAACCAGCAGCUCAACUGUUGGCUUGCGGUUGAUACGGGUGGGCUGGAGUUCGGUAGGGGAGACGUGGAAUUCCUGGGUGUAGCGGUGAAAUGCGCAGAUAUCUGGAGGAACACCGGUGGCGAAGGCGGCAUCCUGGACCAACAGUUGACGCGUGAGGAGCGAAAGCUAGGGGAGCAAACGGGGAUUAAGAAACCCCAGGUAGU
rnacentral:rRNA from 1 species